rnacentral:rRNA from 1 species
GACGAACGCUGGCGGCGUGCUUAACACAUGCAAGUCGAACGGUAAGGCCCUUCGGGGUACACGAGUGGCGAACGGGUGAGUAACACGUGGGUGAUCUGCCCUGCACUUCGGUCUAAGCCUGGGAAACUGUGUCUAAUACCGUAUAGGACCACUGCCUGCAUGGGUGGUGGUGGAAAGCUCUUGCGGUGUGGGAUGGGCCCGGGGCCGAUAGGCUUGUUGGUGGGGUGAUGGAAUACCAAUGCGAUGACGGGUAGCCGCGCCUGGUGGGGUGACCGGCCACACUGGGACUGAGAUACGGCCCAGACUCCUACGGGAGGCAGCAGUGGGGAAUAUUGCACAAUGGGCGCAAGCCUGUUGCGGCGACGCCGCGUGAGGGAUGACGGCCUUCGGGUUGUAAACCUCUGUCAGCACCGACGAAGCGAAAGUGACGGUAGGUGCAGAAGAAGGACCGGCCAACUACGUGCCAGCAGCCGCCGUAAGAC